CCUACGGGAGGCAACAGUGGGGGAUAUUGCACAAUGGGGGAAACCCUGAUGCAGCGACGCCGCGUGGGUGAAGAAGCGCCUCGGCGCGUAAAGCCCUGUCAGCAGGGAAGAAAAUGACGGUACCUGAAGAAGACGUCCCGGCUAACUACGUGCCAGCAGCCGCGGUAAUACGUAGGGGGCAAGCGUUAGCCGGAUGUAAUGGGUGUAAAGGGGGCGCAGACGGCGAUGCAAGCCAGGAGUGAAAGCCCGGGGCCCAACCCCGGGACUGCUCUUGGAACUGCGUGGCUAGAGUGCAGGAGGGGCAGGCGGAAUUCCUGGUGUAGCGGUGAAAUGCGUAGAUAUCAGGAGGAACACCGGUGGCGAAGGCGGCCUGCUGGACUGCAACUGACGUUGAGGCCCGAAAGCGUGGGGAGCAAACAGGAUUAGAUACCCCAGUAGUC
rnacentral:rRNA from 1 species